AAAAUAAUAAUUAGACACACCGGUAUCCAUAAUGAAUAUGGCGCGAAAAUCUGUGCUAACCUUCCUAGCUAAACCAAAUCGCGGGAAGUCCAUCUUUCCUAUCUCUGAUCCAGAUUGAUAUUUGCCUUCAUAUCCGGAUUGAUCUAGGUCUCCCCUCCAACUUUGAUAGAAAUCCCAUCCAAUCUCCUCUCGUUGAGCGGGAAGUUUGGAAGGCGGACGGACAGGGGAGCGGCGGGAAGGCGGCGACGGACUGGAGAGCGGCCGAAAGGCGGUGAUGGACCGCGAAGCGGCGGCUUUGUGGGUAGCGCAGAUGGGUGAAGCAGCAAGGCCGCAGUAGGGACUGCAAUUCACCUGCUAGCAUCCCCUGCUCCUCCGGCCGCCACUCCAGCCUGCCCGCUGGUGGCGUGCUGUUCCUCUGGCCGCCCCUCUUCUCCCUGGCCGUGUACGACGGCGAGACUGACCUUCGAGGUAACCCUCCCUCCUUCCCUUCUCCUCUCAUCCAGUCAACUUAUUUGUGGGCACCUCGAGACAUGGCUGUGGGGUGUAGGGGGAUUUGGUAGAUGACGAAGGGGAUGGAUUUCAGAGCUGUACUAUACCAACCGGGCUAUAUUCAGUUGUUUGGAAUACCCUCGCUGUUCAGACCAAUUCCAACAGUCCCUAAAGGGACACCUCCAUAGCUCCCGUGAUUGCUACACAAGUGCGUUGACAUUUGAAGCUAACCUGAGUUCCUGUACUAGCGUAUUCCUGACCCCGCAGUGGUCCCUCACCAUCGCCUCCUGCGAAGACAGAACAUCCAGCAGAGAGCAAUGAUCUAGAGCUCACAGUUGGCUUGUCCUCACAAUAAAACAUGUUCAGCAUUUCUCCUUGGAAUGUGGUAGGCUGAUUCAAGUCGUUUAAGCUAAUUUUUUUGGGAGUCGCAUUGAUGUUAUAGAUAGUUGAUAGAAUAAACACUAGAAUUUUAUUAGUGAUUUCAUGAAUAAAAGCAGGAAUGAAAGACAAAUCGCCAUCUGUAACUCGAUAUGUGCGCUUUCCAACGUGUUGUCCUCCAUCCUAGCCAUCCAAGUUGUUGCUAAUAUGUUUGAUGUGCACAGUGUUUUAGCAACUGGUAUGUGGCCAGGUGAUCAUUCUUUGUGCCCUGUUGGAAUUUAGUCCAGUGCAGUUCAGGUCAAUUGGCGCAUGCAUGUCCAUGUUUCUCUGCACUAAGUAGACAAUCAUCUCUGAAUUUAGUUUGUAUAGGGAAUGCUUGAAACAUCCAGGGAAUAUAGUGUAAGCAUUGCACUGAGUAAACCUUCAUCUCUGAAUUCAGUUUUUACAGAGAAUAUUUGAUUCAAAUAUUCAGGGAAUAUAGUUUAGGCCAGGCACAUCCACUGUUUUAGUUUUUUAUGGUUGAAGUUCCCAAAAUACUCAAGAGUUUGGGUAAACCUGGGAAUGGUUUGACAUCCAGACUAGAACCAGUGUAGUCUAUAGGACUACACACCACACAUCCAAAUGAAACCAACCCAGAUUUUUUCACCUUGAAUCUUGACCAAACCAAACUAUAUAUACAUGCUCUCCAUCCAACCUAGUCCAAACCGUUUCCAAAUUUUGCAUUGAAAUCACAGGUUCAAACUAUGGAGGAAGUCAUAUGGGAUGGCACAUCAUUAAUCUACAAAAUAGUAGAGUUGUGUGACAGCAAAAACAUCAAGCUACUCUUCUGCACGUGAUAGAAAUCCUAUUCUUGGAGAUGUCAUGUACUUUGGAAGGAUUGUGGACAUAAUUGAGUUGGACUAUUUCCAAUUUUUUUGGUGCUAUUUAAAUGUGAACGGGUUGAUGUUACUGAAGGAAAAGGUAUGCAAAUAGAUAAGUAUGGCUGUAGACUUGUAAAUUUCUCUCGUCUAAUUCACAGUGGUAAAAGGCAGAGGAUGUGCCUUUUGUAUUUGCCACCAGUUGACCAAGUGUUCUACGUGGGUGACCAUGUUUAUCAAGGAUGGUCAAUUUUUUUGAAGUUGAAGCCUGGAGAUAAUUUAGAUAUGUGUGGAGAAUGGAAUAAUGUGGAAACAGAACCUUAUCAUGUCAGCAAUUUCUUUGAGCUUUUUGAUACUGCACAUAAGAAACAAAAUGGGAUGAGAAGAGAUAUAGAGGGAGAAACUGUAGAUGCUCCUAUACUGCCAAGUGAUGACACAAUACCUCAAUAAAGGUUCGAUGGAUAAUGAAAGUCACCGAUUUGAAAAUGUGGAGCCUAGUUGAAGUGACGAAUUCAUUAGUGUUAUUUGCUAUUUUUCUAUGAUGUGCAUGGACUUUAUAAUUCGGACUACAAGAUUUGUAGGUGUGACAAGCCUAAAGUGUCAAUACUUGAUCCCCAAUACGUUCGUGUUGGUUGUUUCGUUUCCAAUAUACCAUGAGUUACAGUCUC